GGGCGCUGGACCAGGAAGCCCAUGAUCUGCACCUGCUUCUGGUUGUCGAAGGCCACCAGGCGCACGUAGGCAUCGGGGAAGGCCUUGGUGCAGGCGACGAUCUCGCGCAGCACCUGCAUGGGGUCGCGGCAGCCGAACAUGGGCAGCUUCCACAUGGUCCAGUAGCGGUUGUCGUAGUACAGCUGCGGGCGCACGGGAAAUGGGAGGGAGAAGAGGUUCAGUCACCAGCGCACAGAACCACCAAAGAUGGAAUUGGGCCCCUUGCUUUUCCGUGCUGAAGCACGAGCAGGGGUAUGCGUCAGUUCCCCGCGGUGAGAUAGGCGCUGUCCCGGUGCCAAGCUAACCCAGUGCCACAGUGGACCCGUCUGGCUCUCGCUCCGACUUACGCAAGACACGCUGCCGAAGCGGAUGGCCGACUCGUUGGACACGUAGGCCUUGUCGGCCUCAGCGAACUCCAGGCAGGGGAUCCAGCCUGCAAGCGACAGCACGAAGGGGGUAAGAUAAGUGGCCGACGCAAGCAGUCCAGGGCUAUCCCAGAUAAGGGCGGAUGACAGGCAAACUAUACAGCAGACAACGAACAAGCUAAUCUCAAGCUUCGAGCGAUCGUAAUGUCGCAGUCUGCAGCUACGCCCUAGAUCGUAUUAACUAGCUCUCAAACACAGCCCAGCUACAUAUGCCCACGGCACCAAGCCGUGCUCACCGUUGGCGACGAUGUAGUCGACCUGGGCGGCGAUCUGCUCGUCGGUCAGAGGAGGCAGGUAGGAGAAGGUCUCGAACAUCCUGCGAUCACGCGAUUGACCAGUACUCGUUAGAAGUGGCAGAGCACGUGCGAUGUGAGGCAGCAGGCUGGGCCCCAAGCAAUUGCGUCGCGACUUGCAGAAUCCCUAUCCUUCGGGCUGCGCUUGCUCGUCGACUCACUUGUUGUUGACCGGGGUCCAGACCAUCAUCUGGUUGGCCUGAGCCGGGGCAGCCACGGGGGCAGCCUUGACGGCGGGCUUCAGCGCGGCCAUGGGGCGCACGCUGGAGCGGGCCGGGCGAGCCACGGCCGCGGAGACGGAGGACUUGGCAAUGACGGCGGCCAUUUUAGAUGUUUGAGAAAGUGGUCGAAUGAACGAGUAAGUUCUUGGGACAAAGACUCGGAGGUGGCCGGUCGCCGUUUUCAAUCCCCGCUCGCCGAUGACCCGUACGGCAGGCUUAUCCGACUCGUCGGCUUUCACGACCGCCCGAGCCUGCGCGCUUCAUCCGCUUCCGGAUAGCUUGCUACGAUAAUGCAUUAUUCAAUUUUACGACGCAAUGUCAUGAGCAGCGCCGGGCGGGCUUAUUUACAUGCGUCGCCUCGCUCGCCGUUGACUUGAUACUUUGGAAAUUCGGGCUCGAUUCGUUGCUACAGCCUGCCUUUUGCACACAAUGUGAACGUCGAUUCUACAUUUGUAUGUGACUGAACUUCGCGGCCCCUACUGAACGUUUCGUGCAAGCGACAUGUCGACUCACAACUUGGAGGAACGCGCGAGGGGUCCCCACACGCACUUUCAGCCUGCUUUGGCGAAAUGGACAUGAUAGGUAUAGCCAGGAUAUGGGUCUGCUAGCUCGCCUGGUGUUUUGACCGUCGAUCGGUUUCGCGUUGGGCCUUGCGGCUGCUCGCUCGCCGCGGAUGCUUCCGCACACUGCGCGGCACGUGUUAGUCUGUGCACGACGACGGUUUGUUUGUAUUGCGCCGCCAACGUUCAACGGUGGUGGUAGGUUCGAAUGUCAGAAUGUCGGGCACGGGGACCUUGGGCGCAUUGCCUACAAGCGCGUGCCUGUGUUUUUGGGGGGCAGAGAAGUGAGCCUGCCUAUUGGGUCACAAUAGCACAGAGGCGGGUGGCCAGCGUCGGGAACUGGUUCAGAACGGCUGCAGGGACAGCACCGUGCGUGCGUGUGUGUGUGGGGGGAGCCUUCAAAGUUGACGAGCUUCGCAGCGCUGGGAUGGACUGGCAUUGCGUGCUUGAGUUUGCGUCCCGUGAGAACCCUGCAGUUUAUGGCGGAGACAGGGAAGAGGGAAUGGGAUCGCGCCGGUGCAGGGAAAGGGCACGAAUCUGAGGUUACGGUAUCUGGGGGGAGGUGCCCAUGUGGGAGGGGAAGCCUAACUGCCUGUCUGGGUGCAGACCAGGAAUGGCAACACGUGAACGGUUAGUAGAGAGCUGUGUGCUGUUGGGCGCUCUCGGCAAGGGGCGUGGGAGGGGGCUGGGUUGGUGGGCGGCUGUCCGCACAGUGCCUAGCAGUGCGCACUCAGGCCCUUCGCAGACCGAAGAGGGCGCCAGGGCCUAUGCGCGCGUGGCUUGGCGUGAGGUUCUUGCUGUUGGCGUCAGGCGCCGCAAAAGGCCGGGUGGCUCUGCAGUGUCCUGCUCGCUUGGCGUGCGGCAAAGUGGUUCAGUCAGCGAGCGCAGUGUAUGCGUGUGUGCGUGUAUGCGUGUGCGUGCGUGUGUGUGUGUGUGUGUGUGUGUGUGUGUGUGUGUGUGUGGUUGCUGCGGAGAGGGCACGCAGCGACACGAGAUUGCCAUGCAGUGGUGCAAGCUGCUGGGGUCGGGUAAACGGGGUGGGAAAGUUGGUGAUGGUGGAAUGUUCUUGUGGCACGAACUGGCCUUGUGCGUAUUCGUUCGCCCCGUUCACUCUGGUCCACCAAUCCCACAGUCACUGCACUUAAAUGCCUAAAAGCCCCUGCUACGGUGCGGACAGGGUAAGGCCACGGCAGGUCUAAGUCCAUAUGCGCCCGUAGAGGUUCGAGUGCGUUAACCGGUCGCAAGGUGUUCACAACAUGUUGAUGUGUUGACAACAUGGCUGUGGUCAAGACGUGCCCUGCGAACUUCCCGUGUUUACAUGUUAAUAGAGCUCGCUGACAGCAGUCAUUUGACACCAUUAUGGAAGAAAACAGAGGGGAUUUAGGGGGUGUACGGCACGGUAUGGCACGGUCGGUCGUCGGUCCGGGGGGUCGGGGGGUUCUGCAGGGUGGGGCCUGGAACUAUUGUUCGUACACCCCCGCCUGGCUCCCCUGCUCCCCCUGACUAACCCCUGACCUCUGGCUUUCUUCGCUUUCCUUUCAGUGUCACCAAUUCUCAUGAGUGGGGGCGCACCCCGAAAUAAGCGGGUACGGUGCUUCAGUUCAGUGCUUGCCACGGCCUCAAGAGCCCCAAACCACGUGCACCGAAAUUCGCUUGCACUCCAAAUGCACUGGGAAGCCAGUAGCAGCGCGCUCUCAAAUGCUGGCAUGUGUCUCUCUCUGUCCAGAGCCUGAAUGCGCCAAGUCUGCUACGGUAGGAGGGUGCAACCCGUGGCCCGCCUUGAACCGCGCUUGCACACACAGCUGGAUUGCUGCUGGCAUGACCGUGUGAAAGAGGUACAGGCAGCCGGGCAAGUCCCAGCGGGCAGGUUGGUGUAGGCUAUGCCCCAUAACAGGCCCGUGCAUGCUGCCACGGACUUCUCGCCAGGAAUGUAAGUCCCGAUGCUAGACAAUUACUCCAGCAGCUGCAUGCCGCCAUCUUCAGUACUCGGUAUCCCUUGGUGCACGCAAGUCAAGGAUCAGUCCCAGGGCUCACCCUGGAGCAAUGCAGCCUGCGUGUGCACCUGCGAUGGAGCCGCGGCCUGCGGUAUUGGCUGCCCGAUUACGAAGCUGCGGGUGGGGGCAGUUGGCACGCAUUCCGCCACAGACCCCGCGAGCCUAGCCGCACCCAAGCUCUAAGCGGCCUAGACCGUGACCAAAGGCGAAGAAGCCGCGGCCAUCCCUGCGCUCAGAUUGCAUUGGUUACAAGAGGGACCUGCUGACGCAGUUCAUGGCUUCAUGCGCUCAGAGCCCGAGCCCUGAGCGGCAGCAAAAGCAGAAGCCACGCUACGUGUGCUAGCUACGACCAAUGCCUUGUACAGCUCUCCUCGGCUGCGCUCUUCGGCUGCGCUCCUCGGCUGCGCGGGACAGGGGACUCCGUGCAACCACUAUUGCUUAUAGCCUGCACCAGUCAUUGACGAGUGUUGCGGAACUAAUGCGUACGUAGACCAGAGCGGAAGGCGGAGUGGGCUUGCAGGCGGCACGAGAGUAGGCAGUCAGUAGCGCAAGUUGCGAAUUCCCAUGUUACCUCGUAACCGACGGUAAACGCUGUGGACGGUCGCGCCCAUGGCUGGCUGACGGAAGCUGGCUGCGGUAUUGGGAUGGCUGGGCUGGAUGACGCCGGCCGGGCUGGCGUUGGGACUACCAGAAAGGAUGCGCCCGAAACCAACCUGGAGAACACCAGCGCCACCGGUGCCCAGCACGACAUGUAAGGGAGGGAGGGAGGGACAGGAGGCGUGAUGCACUGCAGCGUAGAAGCUGCAGUCAUGGGCACAGCUUGUACCAUACAGCACGGUCAUCAAGGACACAAUGCCGGAACGGCAUCAUACGAGGCGGGGUUGGGAGCUGCAGGAAGUGGGCAGCGGGGCAGAAUCAAAGGUUUGCAUCGUUUAGAACAGGUGCGGAACACGCGCCAGCGCCAGCGCGGAGGACCCCAAGUAAGGCCUUUACUCACCAAUGUACGUUUUGUACACCCAAUCUCGCCCCCUAUCGACGUUGGCACUAGGUAGCUGGCUAUCAUUCUAUGCAGAUUAAGCAAAGGGGCACCGGGAACAACUGACUCAUGUUCGUCACUGCAGGUUACUGCAAAUGCUGUCUCCACCUUUGCUGCACGGUUCCGUUUCGUCACGUUUGCUGGUGUUGCUACCCGCCGUUCUUUAGUGUGUAACUGAUCUGCGAACCGAGUCCCCUUCAGCUGAUGAACCCCGCAGCAACUUUUCCAAAAGCGCUUCAAAUACGCCCAGCCCGCCCAUGGAGAAAGAGGCCAAAAUCAACGGAGGAUCGUUACAACCAACAAAAUUGCAAAACUCCUCCGCUUUUUACGUGUUGAAAAAGACUGAUCAGCACGAAACGGGGAGCUAAGCUACCGCUUCAGCACUUGAGAGCAGUAUCUUCCAUCCACCGCCGUUCGUCAGGGGGCAAGGCUCAGAUCAACGAGCGCCUCCAUUUACACGGAGCGCUUGUUGGCGGGCUGCCAGUCGCGGGCAGACUUGGGGCGCUGGACCAGGAAGCCCAUGAUCUGCACCUGCUUCUGGUUGUCGAAGGCCACCAGGCGCACGUAGGCAUCGGGGAAGGCCUUGGUGCAGGCGACGAUCUCGCGCAGCACCUGCAUGGGGUCGCGGCAGCCGAACAUGGGCAGCUUCCACAUGGUCCAGUAGCGGUUGUCGUAGUACAGCUGCGGGCGCACGGGAAAUGGGAGGGAGAAGAGGUUCAGUCACCAGCGCACAGAACCACCAAAGAUGGAAUUGGGCCCCUUGCUUUUCCGUGCUGAAGCACGAGCAGGGGUAUGCGUCAGUUCCCCGCGGUGAGAUAGGCGCUGUCCCGGUGCCAAGCUAACCAGUGCCACAGUGGACCCGUGUGCCAAAAGCUAACCCAGUGCCACAGUGGACCCGUCGGGCUCUCGCCAGACUUACGCAAGACACGCUGCCGAAGCGGAUGGCCGACUCGUUGGACACGUAGGCCUUGUCCGACUCAGCGAACUCCAGGCAGGGGAUCCAGCCUGCAAGCAAGGGGAUGAAGGGUGCCGCGAAGGGUGAACGAGGGACAAAGACACGGACAGGAACCGGAUAAGGGGCGGCUUGACCAAGAACUCACGCUCCGACCGCUACUUCGGCAACCCAAAUAAGUGAUUCCACGCUAUGGCUCUGUCGCUGUCGUAUAGCCCGGCUGGUAGCAGCUGGAAAGCUCAAGUGAGGCUGGACAAGCCGCGCUGGCAUGAGUGCAAGCUGUUUGCCCAAGAAAAAGCCGCCGAAAGCCCAGGCUGACUGCAGAUUCCUGACUUGGGCACUGUUCGUUGCUGGAGUGUUGCUCGCAACCCCGCAAGCUCACCGUUGGCGACAAUGUAGUCGACCUGGGCGGCGAUCUGCUCGUCGCUCAGGGGGGGCAGGUAGGAGAAGGUCUCGAACAUCCUGCAAAUGGAAACGGCGACGCAGGGUUAGAUGCUGCUUGAGACAGCGACAGAGGAGCCAAAAGCCUUCGUCGACACAAUGCGGGCGUUGCAAGUCAAAUCUGCAAGCACGCUGCCUGAUCCGCCGGGCUUGCUCGUCGACUCACUUGUUGUUGACCGGGGUCCAGACCAUCAUCUGGUUGGCCUGAGCCGGGGCAGCCACGGGGGCGGCCUUGACGGCGGGCUUCAGCGCGGCCAUGGGGCGCACGCUGGAGCGGGCCGGGCGGGCCACGGCCGCGGAGACGGAGGACUUGGCAAUGACGGCGGCCAUUUUAAGAUGUUGAGUGACUUCUCUUGUAAAAAAGUAAAGAACAUAGGCCCCCUGGCCGGUUUAUCAGGAGGGCACCGCUCCAGGGGCUGCAUGCGAACUGCUUGCAUUGGCGCCUAGCCUUUGUGGGCCAGGGGGCUUCCGGAUAAGGGUUGCAAGUGCUCAAAUACCCCAUCAAACAUCAUCCUGGUUUGGCUGCGCUCCUUCUGGCGCGCCCGGGAAGCCGGGCUUGCACGCAGAGUGAGGAUGCGGCACGGGUGCACGCGCACGAUAGUCACUUUGCAUUCUCAGGACGUUCGCGACGCUAUUAAGGCUGGGUUUUAUCAAAACUAACGAGCUCGGCCACGCGGGCGAGUUCAAACCGUGGCGUGACACAACUAAUAUACGCCCCCGUCGCGGCGGCCCCGGCUGGCGCGCAAAGCAUGCCAAUUACCUUCAUCUGUCACGAAGUAUCAUAGGACGGCAGGCGGGGCAUCUGGGCCGCUCUCGCGGUGUUGCUAGGAAACAGACAAUGUUCCUGCCGUUUGUCCAGUUUUUCGUCGUUUCUGGCGCCGUGUCGCCUCUAAGAGGUAUGUGGAAGAGUUUUACCUGGCUCGCGUCGAAUGUAUAGACCCGUGCGCCGGCGCAUGCGGCGAUCCGGGUUGUGCCGACGGUCGCGGCUUGCUUGACGUGGGCUGCGUAGUUCACCACUCCCCUGGGGCACUGGGUUCAUCAUCAUUUGUACACACUGAGACAGUGCGGUACUACCAUCGUGCAGGGGACUCCGAAGUUCGGUCCACCAAUCCACCAAUGGCGCUAGGACGGGACUUGACGGGAUCGGCGUAGGACGGUGGAACGGGUGCGGUUUGCGUAAUGCAUCAGGGGGGGUCGUGACAGAGGCACGAGAGCUCCCGUCAUGCAGAACGCCGUGGAGAGCCGCUGAGGGGUUUGGAAAGGUGAAAGGGGGGGUCCUAACGGGUCCUAUGACUCGCGGUGGGUUUCUUGCAAUCAUGUCAGGUAAGCGUCGGACCCCUGCAUAAUGCAAAUUACUUUGCGUCUGUUAUACCUAAGGCAGCAAUGCACGGUGGCGGUGGGUGGUGAUCCCUUGGUCGUUCAGACUUCCGACUGCACCCUACAAAAGGACUGAACGCACAGGGAUUGGAUCCUAGGGGUGACCGCACAGGGACCUGGACCCCGCCUACCGGCGCGCGCUGGUGCUGCGUGAGCUGCUGGGCUACCCCGCCGACGUCCCGUGCCGAAGCGGCCCACCUGUACCCACCGCCGCCGGGGAAGUGACAUGGGUUAGCAACCCGGCCUAUCCACUUUGGGUCGGGGCAGCGGCGGGGCAGGGCGGGGCAGGGUGCCGACGUGCUGUGACCUGCGGGACGGCGUGUCACAAAGCGUGUGCGAGAACGGCAAGGGAAGGGGCGAACCCAGGCGCGGCCUGGACGCGUAGACAGAACUGCAGGUGCAGGCGGGCGCUUGGCGGCACCCCAGGGGGACACACGUCAUGACGUCACGACCUGCACCCAACGCGUACGCGUCCCUCCAAUGCUAGGCCGCGCCGGCGCGAGUGUCGCCCUACUGUCACCGUGUGGGACGUGGCCGUGCAACAAUGUCUCUGCGUCUCGCCACGAGCAAGUGUUCACACAUUGCGCUUCAGUGCCUUGCCAGCCCGAGCACCCGCAGUACCCAAUGCCGCCGUGUCCCGACUCCACGAUGGGGGCCAGGACAGUCUGGCCUGACCAGGCGUGCUGCCUCUCCUACCGUAGCCUACCCCGGCGCGGCGGCCGUGCUGACCAUGGGUCCCACACUACCAACUCCAUGCCGACUCGGAUGUGAACGCUAGCUGGUGUUCGGGUGCGAAUGUGCAAUUGUGCGCAGCGCCCUGCAUCCCCCGCGGCACGGGCCCCCGUGUCAGGGCCCCGCCGCCCGGUGACGUACAGAAGGCAGGGCAGAGGUCCGGGCAUGUGGGCUUCUAGGAACUUCGAAACACCACCGCUGGUCACCUUCCUGCAGAUGCGCUGCGGCUCUGCAUCGCGAGUGUGGCGUUGCGGUGUGUCUGUGUGGUGCUAUCGCCUGGCGCCGGAGCGUGAGGAAUGCGCGUCAGCAAACUUCCAGCCAGCCAGCAACUUGUCGGUACUGUAAGAGCAUCCGUCAGCAAAAGUAACUCUGGCGUUCGACCAGCCGCGCACUCCUGCCCUGCCGUUGCAAAUUGUUUGCCAUCUGCUGGGAAUCAGCUGCAUCCUACGGGACUUCACCAACCUGCCUUAACACUGUCCCAUCGCACACCCCGACCAUGCCAUGUUGACGUUCCACCCAUGCGUUACACCGUACUUGUACAGUACGGUAUGAGGGCACGCUCUGGAUAAGCUCCUUGACCCGGCAGCCGACAAGACCAUGUGACACUUUGCAUGGACUCCACAUUUCUGCUGACGGCUUCUGCCUGUGCCACGGGAGGGGCCACAUUCGAAUGUAUUCUAGCGUCCUUUGCGCUUCAUGAUCACGCACCAUACAUGACCGUGCCGAACCGUUAUCCGCAAGCCGCCAAAAAGGAAGUCGCCUUGGGAUUAUGAAUGCGACAUUACAAGAAGGCACAGUCCGUCCAAGCAUGGGUGCCCAGCCCAGCGUGCCAGCCCAGGGAUUAUGCCUUUUCUUCUCUCAGUUUGCAUCAAGGACCCAAUCACGCUGACGCAUCCUGACGCAUUCACCGCCGGAACGCUCCCAGCAGGUUAAACGCGCGCUCCUUCUUGGAAGCGGUCUCCUGCUCCGGCUCCACCUCCUCCUCGGGCUCCUCCUGCACCUCCUCCACCGGCUGCUGCUUGCGGCCCAGCAGACCGCCGAACAACUGCUGCUUGGCGCCGUUUCCGUUUCCGUUGGUAUUUCCGUUUCCGUUUCCGUUGGCGGCCUUGGCGGGCGCGGCCUUUCCGUUACCGUUACCGUUGGCCCUGCCGUUGGAAGCGCUGCCCCUUUGACGGCGGGCUUCAGCGCGGCCAUGGGGCGCACGCUGGAGCGGGCCGGGCGGGCCACGGCCGCGGAGACGGAGGACUUGGCAAUGACGGCGGCCAUUUUAAGAUGUUGAGUGACUUCUCUUGUAAAAAAGUAAAGAACGUAGGCCCCCUGGCCGGUUUAUCAGGAGGGCACCGCUCCAGGGGCUGCAUGCGAACUGCUUGCAUUGGCGCCUAGCCUUUGUGGGCCAGGAGGCUUCCGGAUAAGGGUUGCAAGUGCUCAAAUACCCCAUUAAACAUCAUCCUGGUUUGGCUGCGCUCCUUCUGGCGCGCCCGGGAAGCCGGGCUUGCACGCAGAGCGAGGAUGCGGCACCGGUGCACACGCACGAUAGUCACUUCGCAUUCUCAGGACACCUGCGACGGGUGCGGUUUGCGUAUUGCGUCAGUGGGGGGUCGUGACAGAGGCGCGAGAGGUCCUGUCAUGGCAGAACGCCAUGGAGAGCGGCUGAGAUGGUUCAGGAAGAAGACAAGGGGUGUCAGCUUUGUACAGCUGGAAAAUGGGCUGAGCCCCAUGUAGCGCAAGGGGAUGUGACGAUGGGCACCGGCGACAUGAACAGCACCCUUGCAAGCCCAUCCAGCGGGACUGGCCACUAUGCCAACGCCGUGCCGAGGCACCGACAUGCCCUGUCCCCGCCACGCCACGCCACCUUACCCACGCCACUUCACGGUCCAUGAUAUCCCAAAUGCAUCUCACCCACAUCCCACUCAAGCACCGCAAACGGCUAGCCGGGCUCGGGCGCGGGAUCCCGGGCCGCGACACAUGUAAGGCUCGGGGACGCAUGGUUUGGCUGUUGCAAACAAUUUCGACAUUCUUGCCCCAAGACGCUUGUCGUCGACAUGUUUUGAUACAUGGAUGUAAGAUAUUUAGGGGCCGAGAGCUAUACUCGUGAACUGAAGAAAGUCAAGAUGUCCAUGGACUCACGAGGUCGCUUCUCGCUCCGGCCGAGUUUUCCCUGCCGUCUAUUUUUCUACAAUAGGUAAUUGCAAUUAAUAAUACGUGGCCCGCGUUUGUGCCAGUAUGGUACUUUUUGUCGACACAGGCACACACGCACGCACGGACAGGGGCAAUCCUGGGGGGCUUCGCCCCCCCUGGAUCGCUUCGCUCAGGGGGCUCAGCCCAAAAAGGCAGUCCUAUGAGCAGCGGUGGGUUGUCUCUGCCUGCAAUCGUGUCCGUCUCGCGUCGGACCCCUGCAUAAUGAAAGUACUCUGCGCCUGUUAUACCUGGGGCAUUCAUGUGCGGUGGCAGUGGGUGGUGAAAGGUGAGGCUGGAGCUAGCGCUGCUUUGCCCCUUGGUGAUCCCUUUGUGGUGUGAACUUCCAACUGCACCAAACCAAAGGACUGAACGCACAGGAAUCGGAUCCUAGGCGUGACCAAAGUGGAGAGGGCGGGUUGCUAACGCAUGCCACUCCCCCGGCAGCGGUGGUUACAGGUGGGCCGCUUCGGCACGGGUCGGCACGGGUCAGGGCACGAGCAAUUGUUCACACAUUGCGCUUCAGUGCCUUGCCAGCCCGAGCACCCGCAGUACCCAAUGCCGCCGUGUCCCGACUCCGCGAUGGGGGCCAGGACAGUCUGGCUUGACCAGGCGUGCUGCCUCUCCUACCGUAGCCUACCCCGGCGCGGCGGCCGUGCUGACGACCACAACUGCCCUGACCAUGGUCCCACACUUCCACUCCAUGCCGACUCUGACGUGGACGCUGGUGUUCGGGUGCGAAUGUGCAAUUGUGCGCAGCGCCCUGCAUCCCCCGCGGCACGUACGGACCCCCGUGUCAGGGCGCCGCCGCCCGGUGACGUACAGAAGCCAGGGCAGAGGUUCCGGGCUGCCGGGCCCGGACCAGGCUUGCGGGCGGUCAGAACCUUCAGAGCACCACGUGUAUGCCAAAUGCCUGCACAUUGCGCGUAAUUGCCCGUCAAGUGUUUUGCUACCUGCCUGCCUCUUGCUUUGCCUGGGUCCACCCACCCCGCAUAGCACGCAUGACCCAUGCCGCAUGCAGUACGACCGGGAUGAGCCAUGCAGCCACUGCGCUGUCUCUAUCUGUCCGGCCGCCCGGCGCGCGGAGUUGUCUGCCUUUCUUUUUGGCGUAGUGUUUACAUCAGCUUCCCCUACGCCGCCUUAGGUCACCUCGUGCAACUCGGCCCGCCUUGCAGCCAGCAGCCGCGCUCCCGCGCGCUCCGAGCUGCAUUUGUCUACUGCCACUGUUGCCUCCCCGCUUCCUGCCGCUGUUGGUUCCGCCCUCUCUUCCUCACUCCGUUCCUUCCACACAUAUGCUGCUGGGCGCCAGUGGCGCUGGUGUCUCCCGGUUGGUUUCGGACAGCUCGUAUUCUGGCGUCUCCGGCGCCUUCAUUCGCGGCCGCUCCUGAUCCAGGCUCGCCAUGCCAUGCGUUACACCGUACUGUAUGCCUGUGAGUGCUCGCCCUCGUAUCACGGAAUGCUCUCUUGGGAUGCGCUCUCCCUUCUUUGUGUGUCCGUCCAUGCAGCCAGUAAAAUCAUUGGGCUCAGGGCUGGGCCAAAGCAGUACAGUUGCGCCAGCCCCGCCACUCGCCAUCAGAGUCUCUGUUUCUUCCUGAUGCGCCCAUGCUCAAUUGCUCAUAUGCUGCCGGGUUGGCAACUGUGCACGAAGUACGCAAGCUUUGUACAGGGCUCCCUCCGUUCCUAACGAGCGUCAUGAGAACUGGCCUGCAUCCAUACCUCCAUGAUAUUUAUCCCAGUUGGCUCCUGUAAACUCACUCGUGGCCGCAUUCAAAAUGCGCAGAUCCCAACUAUCAAACACCAAGGAACCCCUCUACCUAAAGGCGUGCGCCACAAUCCGCCGGGAACCUCGUGCCACUCUUUUAUAUGCGUCCCCACUCCCUCUGUCUGUGCCUUGUGAACCUGCCCAGUUCAAUUGCCGCACUUGGCAUGCCGCAGUCCUCAUUGUGUACUGUGCCCUUGAAACUUCGCCGCUGCUUGACAGGCGCGCGGCAUUCGCUUUGCCCUGGCCCGUACCACACUCUGCCGUACCUAGUCGGCCGCAGUCGGCGGGAUCUGCGCAUAGAUGGCGUAUCUAUCCGAUCGCAAUGGAGCUCUUCAUGUUGCACAACGUUAUCUUCACAAUUGCGCAAGGCUUACGGACAAGGUCCCCCUUAUGCCUCAUCAGCAGCAUGCGCCAGCACGCCUGGUGCCAUACCCAUCCAUCAGGCUACAGCGCCAAAGAAAUACCACGCAAGUGUGAAACCAACAAACACUUUUGACUUGCUUCAUAAACAAAGCUCAAUGCUUGCCGCAGCGGCGGCGUGAUCCCCACAGGUCAACCCAGCGCUCCAUCCUGCGACCGCCUACUCAUGUGCCUACUUCCAGCCCCCUCCGGAACUUACGGGCACCUCACGGGCACCUAGACGUCAGCCAACCCGCCUGCUUUGAAAGCUGUAGCCUGAAACAACCACAUUGUAGCAUUCUCAUAGGAAGCUUGAGGGGCUGGCGCUACAGUAUGAGGGCGCCGCACGCUCUGGAUAAGCUUCCGUGACCCGUCAGUCGACAUUACCAUGCGACACUUUGCAUGGACUAAAUAUUUCUGCUGACGGCUUCUGCUGCACACUCAAAAUGUAUUCUGACGUCAUAUGCGCAUCAUGAUCACGCACCACACACGACCGUGCCGCACCGUUAUUCGCAAAGCCGCGAAAAAAGAAGUCGCUUUUGGAGUUAUGCUUUUUCUUCUCUCAGUUUGCAUUGAGGUCCGAUCGCGCUGAUGCAUUUACCGCCGAAAGACUCCCAGCAGGUUAAACGCGCGCUCCUUCUUGGAAGCGGUCUCCUGCUCCGGCUCCACCUCCUCCUCGGGCUCCUCCUGCACCUCCUCCACCGGCUGCUGCUUGCGGCCCAGCAGACCGCCGAACAACUGCUGCUUGGCACCGUUUCCGUUUCCGUUGGUGUUUCCAUUACCGCUUCCGUUUCCGUUGGCAGCCUUGGCGGGCGC
rnacentral:lncRNA from 1 species